CUGUGAUGCCUGAAAGAGGAAUAAAAAUGUUGGGAUAGAGUUCUGUGACUACACAUCCUUGGAAAAAAAAGAACUGCAAGAACAGCCAAGGAGAUUAUUUACUUCUCCCCAGGCUGUCAAUGCCAAAGUAAAGUGUACUUCAUGCACUGGGGGUACCUGAACAGCAGGCAGUGAACAUCUGAGAAGCACCAUUGACCGUGAACUUUGCUACUCCCUUGCUGCUCUCAUAGUGACCUUCAAAAUCAGGUGGGGAAGUUUAACUUUCAAUUACUGCCAGUCUUCUUUUCCUUCCCACCCUGUCUGAGCACUGGCACAGGUUGCCCGGAGAAGCUGUGCAUUUUUCCUCCUUGGAGACAGUCUAAAGCUAUCUGGUCAUGGUUGUG